rnacentral:misc_RNA from 1 species
GGACUACUGGGGUUUCUAAUCCUGUUCGCUCCCCACGCUUUCGCUCCUCAGCGUCAGGAAAGGCCCAGAGAACCGCCUUCGCCACCGGUGUUCCUCCUGAUAUCUGCGCAUUCCACCGCUCCACCAGGAAUUCCAUUCUCCCCUACCUUCCUCAAGUCAACCCGUAUCAAAAGCACGCUCAGGGUUAAGCCCCAAGAUUACACUUCCGACGCGAUCAACCACCUACGAGCCCUUUACGCCCAAUAAAUCCGGACAACGCUCGCACCCUACGUAUUACCGCGGCGGCUGGCAC